rnacentral:rRNA from 1 species
CUUGCUUCUCUUGAGAGCGGCGGACGGGUGAGUAAUGCCUAGGAAUCUGCCUGGUAGUGGGGGAUAACGUUCGGAAACGGACGCUAAUACCGCAUACGUCCUACGGGAGAAAGCAGGGGACCUUCGGGCCUUGCGCUAUCAGAUGAGCCUAGGUCGGAUUAGCUAGUUGGUGAGGUAAUGGCUCACCAAGGCGACGAUCCGUAACUGGUCUGAGAGGAUGAUCAGUCACACUGGAACUGAGACACGGUCCAGACUCCUACGGGAGGCAGCAGUGGGAAUAUUGGACAAUGGGCGAAAGCCUGAUCCAGCCAUGCCGCGUGUGUGAAGAAGGUCUUCGGAUUGUAAAGCACUUUAAGUUGGGAGGAAGGGCAGUUACCUAAUACGUGAUUGUUUUGACGUUACCGACAGAAUAAGCACCGGCUAACUCUGUGCCAGCAGCCGCGGUAAUACAGAGGGUGCAAGCGUUAAUCGGAAUUACUGGGCGUAAAGCGCGCGUAGGUGGUUAGUUAAGUUGGAUGUGAAAUCCCCGGGCUCAACCUGGGAACUGCAUUCAAAACUGACUGACUUAGAGUAUGGUAGAGGGUGGUGGAAUUUCCUGUGUA